GAAAAUAUAAAAACAAGAGUCAUGUUCGUUUGCUUUUUUGUGCGCAUGUGCGUGAUUCGUGCAUGCGCA